rnacentral:hammerhead_ribozyme from 1 species
AUCCAAGUGAGGAGUCGUAAAUAGGACGAAACGCGUGUCCUGGAU